rnacentral:rRNA from 1 species
UACGUAGGUGGCAAGCGUUGUCCGGAUUUACUGGGCGUAAAGAGCGCGCAGGCGGUCGUUCAAGUCGCGUGUGAAAGCCCCCGGCUCAACUGGGGAGGGUCACGCGAUACUGAUCGACUCGAAGGCAGGAGAGGGAAGUGGGAUUCCCGGUGUAGUGGUGAAAUGCGUAGAUAUCGGGAGGAACACCAGUGGCGAAGGCGGCUGACUGGACACAUAUUGACGCUGAGGCUCGAAAGCAUGGGGAGCAAACAGG